CCAAAAAAAAUUGACUGACUUUAACAAUAAAUGUUAUUUGUACAACUACCGAUAUUUGAAACCACAUUGAGAAUUUAAAAGGCAAAAUAUUAAAAGCAUGGAUAUGUGUUAAGUCCAAUACAACAAGUCAUUUAAUGGAGGUUUAAACCAGCCACUAUCACGAUAAUAAAUAAUGUUACUAAUAAGAAAUGAAAACACCCUAACCGAAAAUGCUCAUGAACCGAUAUCUAUUCCUCACUCCUCUCAUUUGCUUUUUUUGUAUAUUAAAUUCAACCAAACAUCACCUCCAUCCUACACUCUCUGCUACCUAACGAACAAAAGAAAUAUGCAACCAUACCUUCGAAAACAGAACACACUAGUCAUUAAAAAAAUCAAAACAAGAUUUCCUCUUAUGGUCUUGAUGAAAAAAAAAACCUUUUUGUUCUUCCGCCCCACUGGAUCUCACCCAAACAAAUGGUUAGUUCAGAGAUAACAACGAAACAUGCAAGUUCGGAUACAUAUCGAUUUUUAAAAAACGACAUUAACCUCACGAAUCUACUAAAUAAAUUUUAUGGAUCUAAUGGCUUCAAGAAAUCCCUAUCUCAAGAAAUCAACAUAAACAAAGGGCGAUAUAUUCAACAGCAUCACAUCGAGCAUGUAAGCGGAAAAUAAAUUCAACUACAGAGUACUCAACAGCAUAAAUCAGAAGAUGAAAAUCUCAUCGGAGCUUUAAAGCUCCGGCAAGAUUCUGGCGACCAGGAUUACCUCAAAGUAACGGCGCUCUAGGAAGGAGUCCCUGCUUCAGUCAUCAAAUGGUUCUUAUAUAGAGUUCUUGUACGAGGUUCAUCCGUCCUUAUCCUUCAUGAGCUGGCGAAUCUUGGAUAGGAUCAAUGCGUUAGAGGGAUUUUUUCUCCAGAUAUUAUGGGGACCGAUCUUCAUACAGGUUGGUUAGUGGAGAAAAACGUCUUCUGUUGAGCCUCUUUCUUGUGGUCCCCAUUUUGGUAUUAUCUUUAACUUUUACCACCGUAAAACAAAUGUGAACUGACUGUGUAGACCUCAAUUACCACUUUGCCAUUUAGAUUUAAUUAUGACAUACUUCUAAUCUUUGACUUUAAAAUACCGUUGGGUGAUUAACGACAUUUUUACGAUGCUCUGGUUGGAUUGAUUUUAUGCAGGUGUGAAUGUAAUAGCUGUUGGUCUACAGUUGGUGUAGGUCUCACGUUUUGGGUUGGUGCACAUUGCUUGGCCUUGAUGUGUAUGCUCUGUCUUGGUGAUCCUCACGUUUUGCAGCUCAUGGUAGCUUAUGCGGCUUGGAUUCCGUCGUGUAUGGUUUUGGUAGCUUGGAUCGCUGUUGUAUCAUGUGGGACGCUGCCUUUCGUAAACUGUCAUCGGAUUCACGUUUUGAUCUUAACGGUUAAUCAACGAAUGCGCAGCAUGAAGCGUUGCAGUUUAGUGCAUUGGGUUGCUAUCAUUUCAACUCACCAAAGCAUUGACAAUCAUGUGCUCAAUACCAACAUUGAUAGCAGGCGAUAACGCGACAUUCAUGCAGCUAGGUUAACGAUGCAGUGGAUUUCACUGAUGUUUGAAUUACCAACAGCGGCUCGGUGUUGUGGCUUCGCUCGCAGCUUUGGGUUCUUUUCACUGAUGUGCCACUGCUUAGUUUUGUGCAUGCUGUUGUUUUGUUGUUGUUCCUGGUCAUGGCUUGGAAGCUUUGGGGAGCCAUGUGGGGACACGGCUGAACUCAAAUGCCUUUAUCUUCGAGUUGCAUUGUAUACAGUUUGGUCUUGUAACACUUUGCUGCUAAGGUUGUAUACAUGUCGGUUUGGUUAUGCGAUUAGAGAGUGAUUCGCACAUUCGAGAAUGUCUCUAAUGCAGGCUUGAUAUUGUUUAAUAUACGUUGCGGAACUGCUGUUUAACGGCGACACUACAUUUGGGAGGAAACUCAAUCUUUUUGGCAAUUGGGGCAUUUGGAUGGAAAAUGGAAAGAACGCGGGCAAAAUCUUUGAAGCCAAGUAUCCCUUUGCACUUUGUAUCAACCAAGUCCAAUACCCCAUCCGUAAACAAAUUGUCCUCUUUACUUGUCUCGCUUAAUGCCAG